AGUGAACGCUGGCGGUAGGCCUAACACAUGCAAGUCGAACGGCAGCACAGUAAGAGCUUGCUCUUACGGGUGGCGAGUGGCGGACGGGUGAGGAAUACAUCGGAAUCUACUUUUUCGUGGGGGAUAACGUAGGGAAACUUACGCUAAUACCGCAUACGACCUACGAGUGAAAGCAGGGGAUCUUCGGACCUUGCGCGAUUGAAUGAGCCGAUGUCGGAUUAGCUAGUUGGCGGGGUAAAGGCCCACCAAGGCGACGAUCCGUAGCUGGUCUGAGAGGAUGAUCAGCCACACUGGAACUGAGACACGGUCCAGACUCCUACGGGAGGCAGCAGUGGGGAAUAUUGGACAAUGGGCGCAAGCCUGAUCCAGCCAUACCGCGUGGGUGAAGAAGACCUUCGGGUUGUAAAGCCCUUUUGUUGGGAAAGAAAAGCAGCAGGUUAAUACCCCGCUGUUCUGACGGUACCCAAAGAAUAAGCACCGGCUAACUUCGUG
rnacentral:rRNA from 1 species